AGAGUUUGAUCCUGGCUCAGGAUGAACGCUGGCGGCGUGCCUAAUACAUGCAAGUCGAGCGAACGGACGAGAAGCUUGCUUCUCUGAUGUUAGCGGCGGACGGGUGAGUAACACGUGGAUAACCUACCUAUAAGACUGGGAUAACUUCGGGAAACCGGAGCUAAUACCGGAUAAUAUUUUGAACCGCAUGGUUCAAAAGUGAAAGACGGUCUUGCUGUCACUUAUAGAUGGAUCCGCGCUGCAUUAGCUAGUUGGUAAGGUAACGGCUUACCAAGGCAACGAUGCAUAGCCGACCUGAGAGGGUGAUCGGCCACACUGGAACUGAGACACGGUCCAGACUCCUACGGGAGGCAGCAGUAGGGAAUCUUCCGCAAUGGGCGAAAGCCUGACGGAGCAACGCCGCGUGAGUGAUGAAGGUCUUCGGAUCGUAAAACUCUGUUAUUAGGGAAGAACAUAUGUGUAAGUAACUGUGCACAUCUUGACGGUACCUAAUCAGAAAGCCACGGCUAACUACGUGCCAGCAGCCGCGGUAAUACGUAGGUGGCAAGCGUUAUCCGGAAUUAUUGGGCGUAAAGCGCGCGUAGGCGGUUUUUUAAGUCUGAUGUGAAAGCCCACGGCUCAACCGUGGAGGGUCAUUGGAAACUGGAAAACUUGAGUGCAGAAGAGGAAAGUGGAAUUCCAUGUGUAGCGGUGAAAUGCGCAGAGAUAUGGAGGAACACCAGUGGCGAAGGCGACUUUCUGGUCUGUAACUGACGCUGAUGUGCGAAAGCGUGGGGAUCAAACAGGAUUAGAUACCCUGGUAGUCCACGCCGUAAACGAUGAGUGCUAAGUGUUAGGGGGUUUCCGCCCCUUAGUGCUGCAGCUAACGCAUUAAGCACUCCGCCUGGGGAGUACGACCGCAAGGUUGAAACUCAAAGGAAUUGACGGGGACCCGCACAAGCGGUGGGGCAUGUGGUUUAAUUCGAAGCAACGCGAAGAACCUUACCAAAUCUUGACAUCCUUUGACAACUCUAGAGAUAGAGCCUUCCCCUUCGGGGGACAAAGUGACAGGUGGUGCAUGGUUGUCGUCAGCUCGUGUCGUGAGAUGUUGGGUUAAGUCCCGCAACGAGCGCAACCCUUAAGCUUAGUUGCCAUCAUUAAGUUGGGCACUCUAAGUUGACUGCCGGUGACAAACCGGAGGAAGGUGGGGAUGACGUCAAAUCAUCAUGCCCCUUAUGAUUUGGGCUACACACGUGCUACAAUGGACAAUACAAAGGGCAGCGAAACCGCGAGGUCAAGCAAAUCCCAUAAAGUUGUUCUCAGUUCGGAUUGUAGUCUGCAACUCGACUACAUGAAGCUGGAAUCGCUAGUAAUCGUAGAUCAGCAUGCUACGGUGAAUACGUUCCCGGGUCUUGUACACACCGCCCGUCACACCACGAGAGUUUGUAACACCCGAAGCCGGUGGAGUAACCUUUUAGGAGCUAGCCGUCGAAGGUGGGACAAAUGAUUGGGGUGAAGUCGUAACAAGGUAGCCGUAUCGGAAGGUGCGGCUGGAUCACCU
rnacentral:rRNA from 1 species